AAGUACCCCGAGGAAAAUAAAUCGAAUGAGAUUCCCUGAGUAGCGGUGAGCGAAAUGGGAAAAGCCUAAAUUAUCAGAUCUAAACGGAUUGGAGUCUUUUGAUCUGGUUCGGUUGUAGGAGUCUAUAUGAACACCUCCAAGUGUUCAGAAAAGUAAAAAAUCGUUUUUUUAGAAGAAUGAAGUUUGGAAAAACCAGCCAUAGAGGGUGAUAGCCCCGUAUUUAAAAGAAAGACGACUUUUCAUAGAUUUCCUGAGUACCACGGGACACGUGAAAUCCUGUGGGAAUCUAGGGAGACCACUCUCUAAGGCUAAAUACCCUUAUUGACCGAUAGUGAACUAGUACCGUGAGGGAAAGGUGAAAAGAACCCCUAAAGGGGAGUGAAAUAGAACUGAAACCGUAUGCUUACAAGCCGUUGGAGCAAUUUAUUGUGACAGCGUGCCUAUUGAAGAAUGAGCCGGCGAGUUAAUUUAUGUAGCAAGGUUAAAAUAUUAAGUAUUGGAGCCGAAGCGAAAGCGAGUCUGAAUAGGGCGUUUAGUUGCAUGGAUUAGACCCGAAACCGUGUGAGCUACCCAUGACCAGGGUGAAGCGAAAUUAACGUUUCGUGAAGGCCCGAACCCUUGUACGCUGCAAAGUGCUGGGAUGAGUUGUGGGUAGAGGAGAAAUUCCAAACGAACACGGAGAUAGCUGGUUCUCCCCGAAAUGUAUUUAGGUACAGCCUUAGGUAUUAACUGAUGGAGGUAGAGCACUGGAUGAGCUAGCGGACGCAAGUUUAGCAAACUCAACCAAACUCCGAAUGCCAUCAGCCGAAGCCUAGGAGUGAGACAGUGACGGAUAAGCGCCAUUGUCGAAAGGGAAACAGCCCAGAUCGCAAGCUAAGGUCCCAAAGUUAUAGUUAAGUGGUAAAGGAAGUUGGAUCGCCCAGACAGCUAGUAGGUUGGCUUAGAAGCAGCCAUCCUUUAAAGAGUGCGUAAUAGCUCACUAGUCGAGGGGUUCUGCGCCGAAAAUUAUCGGGGCUAAACUAUACACCGAAGCUGCGGGAUUCUUUAUGAAUCGGUAGGGGAGCGUUCUCAAUGCAUUGAAUCUGAAUUGUGAGAUUUGGUGGAGCGUUGAGAAGUGAGAAUGUCGGCAUGAGUAGCGACAAUCUUUGUGAGAAUCAAAGACACCGGAAGUCCGAGGUUUCCUACGCAACGUUGAUCGGCGUAGGGUUAGUCGGUCCUAAGGAGAAGCCGAAAGGUGAAUUCGAUGGACAGCUGGUCAAAAUUCCAGCACCGUAAUUAUCCUGUUAUGCAACGAAAGGACGCGAUAAGAACUGUUAAGCAUGCCUAUGGACAUGGUGUGUGGGGCCCUGUAGGGAAGUGAUUGUGGUUAAAAGAACAGUUACGUUAUUAACUGAGAGGGUUUCAAACCUUAAGGCUUCGGCCUUAGGGAAUUUAACACUAACUAUGUCGCCAAGAAAAGUUUCGUUGAUAGGGAUAUUAUGACCGUACCGAAAACCGACACAGGUGGACAGGGGUAAAAGCCCCAAGGUGAACGAGAAAACCAUCCUCAAGGAACUCGGCAAAUUAACCCCGUAACUUCGGAAUAAGGGGAGCCUGAGACAUAUUAGACUUCGCGUCGAAAGUGUUCCAGGCCGCAGAGAAUUGGUCUGAGCGACUGUUUAUCAAAAACACAGGUCUGUGCUAAAUCGAAAGAUGACGUAUACAGGCUGACGCCUGCCCAGUGCCGGUAGGUUAACGCGAGAAGUGAGAGCUUUGAGCGAAGCCCCGGUGAACGGCGGCCGUAACUAUAACGGUCCUAAGGUAGCGAAAUCCCUUGUCGGGUAAGUUCCGACCUGCACGAAAGGCGUAACGACUUGGACACUGUCUCGAGGGUGGACUCGGUGAAAUUGCAUGACCCGUAAAGAUGCGGGUUACGCGCAGCAGGACAAAAAGACCCCGUGGAGCUUUACUGUAGCUUGACAUUGAAUUGUGAUUAAUGAUGUGUAGGAUAGGCGGGAGACUAUGAAACUUGAGCGUCAGCUCGGGUGGAGUCGCCCUUGAAAUACCGCCCUUCUUUGAUUUUGAUUCUAACUUUUAUUAGGACAGUGUCUGGUAGGCAGUUUGACUGGGGCGGUCGCCUCCUAAAAAGUAACGGAGGCGCCCAAAGGUAACCUCAGGCUGGAUGGAAAUCAGCUUUUGAGUGCAUUGGCAUAAGGUUGCUUGACUGCGAGACCAACAAGUCGAGCAGGGACGAAAGUCGGGCAAAGUGAUCCCACGGUACCGAGUGGAAGGGCCGUGGCUUAACGGAUAAAAGCUACCCCGGGGAUAACA
rnacentral:rRNA from 1 species